rnacentral:misc_RNA from 1 species
AAGACUAUAGACCUGCGGAGUACCUGCGGAAGGAUCAUUAACGAAAUUUUGCAUUAAUUUGCAAAUUUAACACACCUGUGAACUUUAAAUUUUGCUUUGGCUGGGCUUUAUUGGUUCAGCCAAACGAUUAAAACCUUUAUAUUUUAACCUGAAUCUGAAUUGAAAAAUUUAAUUUAAUUAAAACUUUCAGCAAUGGAUCUCU